GCUGAAGGUCUGGCUGUGACCUCUGUCACCCCACUGAUUGCCAGGAUUGAUUUGGCCGAUCUCUCUAGGCAGGUGGGCCCCCUUCCAUCCUCACAGUUGCGCCUGUCUUACUCCUGAGCAUACUCUUGUAUGCACAGUCAAAGAAGGCAUUCCCGGGUAGAAGAGAACCAUUCUUUGGUCAAGGGUAUAAUGGUUGCUGUGUUCCCUGGUAGAACCUCCAAACAAAAUGUCCUAGCUGAGUGUAGUGACUCCAGCCUAUAAUCCCAACUCUUGGGGAAGCUGAGGUGAGAGGAUCGCGCAAG
rnacentral:snRNA from 1 species